rnacentral:rRNA from 1 species
CCCUUAGAUGUCCUGGGCUGCACGCGCGCUACACUGAAAGUUACGGAUUGACUUUUUACCUUGUCCGAAAUGGUCCGGGUAAUCACCUAAAAGCUUGUCAUAAUUGGAAUGGAUUAUUGUAACUAGUAAUCCUGAACGAGGAAUUCCUAGUAAGUCCCAGUCAACAGCUGGUACUGAUUACGUCCCUGCCCUUUGUACACACCGCCCGUCGCUACUACCGAUUGGGAAAAUUUUAGAGAGUCCUGGACUGAUGAUUGUUCGGCUUCACGGCCUUACUUUCGUCGGGAAAGAAUUCGAUAAUAUUUUUCUAGAGGAAGUAAAAGUCGUAACA